UUUCAAGAUUGCAAUUUUUCAGAUUAAAUAAUUAUUUUUUAUUGGUUUUUCAUUGUAUAUUAUAGAUUAUCAAUAAUAUAGAUAGAUAAAUGAUUAAAUAAUUCAAUAAUUUGUAACAGUCGUUUUAUAUAAUUCCCGGUCUGGUCGGGUAUCCGGGCUUCUGAAGGGGAUAUUUUCUGUUUACAAAGUUUAUCCAUCCUAAUUAAAAAAGAAAAAAUUGUCUAAGUUCGCGCUAACAAAUUUUCCAAACUAUCAUGUUUGUCACAACCAAGUUAAUAUUGUUGGCUCAGUUGCAAGCUAAUCGAAUGGUCAUUAUGGCCUCGAGACAUUUUACCCUUUCACCUUUCAAAAUGUAAGCUAUGCUCCGCCUUGUAAAAUGGUUGUUUAACUUUAACAGUUCAUUUUGAUGGUUAUCAAAAUGAACAAACAUGCUUGCAAGCAUUUUGCUUGACGGUUGGAAAAAAUAUUUUACAUUUGGUCUUUGUGCAAAAAUGCUCGUUUUUUUUCUCAAGCUUCGUCACUCGUCUUGUUCAUUUUUUCAUUGCUGAUUUCGGACAAUUUUUGGUGAAAUGAUCAUGAAAUUCUCAAUUUUUUCGGGUUAUAAUGAUUAUUUGGUACUGACUUUGUUCCAUCACAAAUGUUAAUCAAUAUUUCGGGUAUGUUUCUGAAAUUCGAUUUUUCAUCAUGUUAGAUAUUGAUUUGGCGGUUUCAGUCUUCAGUGGCAUCAGAUUCAAGAAAAGCUCGGUAAUGUUCAACUUUAAGUUAGGAAUAGGAUAGAAUAGGCUAGGUUUAGGAACAUGAUCUGAGCUUUUUCCUAUUGGAUUUGGUGCUAGUUGAAGUUUUGAAACCAAUGAAGCAAUUGACAAACAUGAUUAAUUUUCGAAGAUUCACGAAAUGAAACACAUAGUUGAAAGUGGUAAUGGUGAACAUUUUGGAAAUUGAAUCUGGAAUCAAGCCAGUUGGAGAAAUCAGAGAUCAUGAUUCAUUUUGGAAAAGGACAACGGAAUGCACAUUACGAUAGAUUUUUAUUUACAUGAUCGACAACUAGUCUUGGAUCAUAAAGAUUGGAUUGGCGAACAUAUGCUCAUGGUCAUUGGUUAAUUUAUAAAUGGAUCAAUAUGGACAAGACGAAAAUUGGAUCGUAUAAUUUGGUUUUUUAAUUAUUGUCAUCAUUGCUUUAUUAAUUU